AUGGGCAUCUCUUGAGACAACUGGCACAAGUGCCGCAAGACUGGGGGCAAGAGAAAGCCCUACCAUAAGAAGCGGAAGUAUGAGUUGGGACGCCCCGCAGCUAACACUAAGACUGGCCUCUGCCAAAUACAUAUAGUCCAUGUUCGGGGAGGUAACAAGAAAUACCGUGCCCUGAGGUUGAAUGUGGGAAACUUCUCUUGGGGCUCAAUGUGUUGUACUAGGAAAACAAGGAUCAAGACCUUGGUGAAGAACUGCACUGUGCUUAUUGACUCAGAGUCCCACUAUGCACUGCACCUAGGCCGCAAGAAAGGAACCCAGCUGACUCCAGAAGUAGAAGAGAUUUUAAACAAAAAAACCUUCAAAAAAAAUUCAGAAGAAAUAUGAUGAAAGGAAAAAGAAUGCCAAAAUAAGCAGUCUUCUGCAGGAGCAGUUCCAGCAGGGCAAGCUUCUUGCGUGCAUUGCAUCAAGACCAGGCCAGUGUGGCCGAGCAGAUAGCUAUGUGUUAGAAGGCAAAGAGCUGGAGUUCUAUCUGAGGAAAAUCAAGGCCCAGAAAGGCAAAUAAUUCUUCCUCUCUCCUAUCUUUUUUUUGGUUGCCAUUGUCAUUUUUUAGCUGGCCCUGGGUUUGAACCUGCCAGCCUUCAUGCACAGGGCUGGCACCAUACCCACUGUGCUACAGGCAAAAAGCCUUCCUCUUUCCUGUCUUAGUUCAUGUCAUAAACGUUCAUUAUUCCAAAAAAAAAGGGCGGUGCCAGUGGCUCAAAGGAGUAGGGUGCUGGCCCCAUAUGCUGGAGGUGGCAGGUUCAAACCCAGCCCUGGCCAAAAACCGCAAAAGGAAAAAAAAAAAAGAAAAGGCUCAGCACCCGUAGCUCAGUGGUUAGAGCGCUGGCCACAUAUACCAGGGCUGGUGGGUUCAAAGUCAGCCCAGGCCUGCUAAACAACAAUGACAACUAGAAAAAAAAAUAGCCGGCGUUAUGGUGGGCAACUCUAGUCCCAGCUACUUGGGAGGCUGAGGCAAGAAAAUUGCUUAAGCCCAAGAGUUUGAGGUUUCUGUGAGCUGUGACGCCAUGGCACUCUACUGAGGGCAACACGGUAAGACUCUGUCUCAAAAAAAAAAAUAAAAUAAAAUAAUCCAGAAUUCAGGUGGGGCACAGUGGCUCACACCUGUAAUCUUAGUACUUUUUGAGGCUGAGGUGGAAGAAUCACCUGAGACCAGGAGUUUGAGACCAGCCCAAUCAACAUAGUAAGAUCUCAUCUCUACAAAAAAUAGAUAAAGUAAUCAGGCAUGGCGAUGCACUCCUAUAGUCCCAGCUACUCAGGAGGCUAAGGCCAGGAGUCUGAGGUUGCAGCAAACUAUGAUGAAGCCAUGGCAUUCUAGCCAAGGUGACAAAGCAAGACCCUGUGUCGGGGGUGGAGAAUAAUCCAGGGAUUCAGGGAGAGUUAAUACCAUGGUCUGUGUCCAAGUCUCUGGAGGGGUAGAACCGGUGAUUUCCAAACCAAACACUCUCUGCCUGAGUGCCUUCAAGAGGACAUCAAGGAGCAGCUUCGGUGUCACUUAUGAAGCUUAUGUGAUCUGUAUAA